rnacentral:rRNA from 1 species
GACGAACGCUGGCGGCGUGCUUAACACAUGCAAGUCGAACGGAAAGGCCCUGCUUUUGUGGGGUGCUCGAGAGGCGAACGGGGGAGUGACACGCGAGUAACCCGUCCUUGACUUAGGGAUAACAUUAGGAAACUGGGGCGAUUAUAGGAUAGAAGCUCUUGCUGCACGGGGGGGGAUGGAAAGAUACGGCGGUUGGGGAUGGACUCGGGGGGUAUCAGCUUGUUGGUGGGGUAAUGGCUUACCCAGGCAAGGACGGGUAGACGACGUGAGAGGCUGGUCGGCCACACUGGAACUGAGCCACGGUCCAGACUCCUACGGGAGGCAGCAGUAGGGAAUCUUCCGCAAUGGGCGAAAGCCUGACGGAGCAACGCCGCGUGAGUGAUGACGGUCUUCGGAUCGUAAAACUCUGUUAUUAGGGAAGAACAGAUGUGUAAGUAACUGUGCACAUCUUGACGGUACCUAAUCAGAAAGCCACGGCUAACUACGUG